GAAGCGGCAACAGCUCAAAUUUGAAAUCUGGCAUCCGCCCGAGUUGUAAUUUGUAGAGGAUGCUUCUGGGCAGCGGCCGGUCUAAGUUCCUUGGAACAGGACGUCAUAGAGGGUGAGAAUCCCGUAUGCGACCGGUUGGCACCCGUCACGUAGCUCCUUCGACGAGUCGAGUUGUUUGGGAAUGCAGCUCUAAAUGGGAGGUAAAUUUCUUCUAAAGCUAAAUACCGGCCAGAGACCGAUAGCGCACAAGUAGAGUGAUCGAAAGAUGAAAAGCACUUUGGAAAGAGAGUUAAACAGCACGUGAAAUUGUUGAAAGGGAAGCGCAUGCCACCAGACUUGUCGGCGGUGUUCCGCCGGUCUUCUGACCGGUCCACUCGCCGCCGCCAGGCCAGCAUCGCUUGGGACCGCCGGACAAAGGCGUGGGGAAUGUGGCUCCCUCGGGAGUGUUAUAGCCCCGCGCACAAUACGGCGCGCCCCGAGCGAGGUCCGCGCUUCGGCUAGGAUGCUGGCGUAAUGGUGGUAUGCGGCCCGUCUUGAAACACGGACCAAGGAGUCUAACAUCUAUGCGAGUGUUCGGGUGUCAAACCCCUACGCGGAAUGAAAGUGAACGGAGGUGGGAACUUUUUUGUGCACCAUCGACCGAUCCUGAUGUCUUCGGAUGGAUUUGAGUAAGAGCAUAGCUGUUGGGACCCGAAAGAUGGUGAACUAUGCCUGAAUAGGGUGAAGCCAGAGGAAACUCUGGUGGA
rnacentral:rRNA from 1 species